rnacentral:rRNA from 1 species
UGGGGAAUAUUGCACAAUGGGCGCAAGCCUGAUGCAGCCAUGCCGCGUGUAUGAAGAAGGCUUUCGGGUUGUAAAGUACUUUCAGCGGGGAGGAAGGGAGUAAAGUUAAUACCUUUGCUCAUUGACGUUACCCGCAGAAGAAGCACCGGCUAACUCCGUGCCAGCAGCAGCGGUAAUACGGAGGGUGCAAGCGUUAAUCGGAAUUACUGGGCGUAAAGCGCACGCAGGCGGUUUGUUAAGUCAGAUGUGAAAUCCCCGGGCUCAACCUGGGAACUGCAUCUGAUACUGGCAAGCUUGAGUCUCGUAGAGGGGGGUAGAAUUCCAGGUGUAGCGGUGAAAUGCGUAGAGAUCUGGAGGAAUACCGGUGGCGAAGGCGGCCCACUGGACGAAGACUGACGCUCAGGUGCGAAAGCGUGGGGAGCAAACAGG